rnacentral:tRNA from 1 species
AGUUAAUUAGCUUAAAAAGCAUUUGUUUUGAAAACAAAAGAUAGAAUUUUGUAUUUUCUAUUAACUU